rnacentral:rRNA from 1 species
UGAACGCUGGCGGCAUGCCUUACACAUGCAAGUCGAACGGCAGCACGGGUGCUUGCACCUGGUGGCGAGUGGCGAACGGGUGAGUAAUACAUCGGAACAUGUCCUGUAGUGGGGGAUAGCCCGGCGAAAGCCGGAUUAAUACCGCAUACGAUCUACGGAUGAAAGCGGGGGACCUUCGGGCCUCGCGCUAUAGGGUUGGCCGAUGGCUGAUUAGCUAGUUGGUGGGGUAAAGGCCUACCAAGGCGACGAUCAGUAGCUGGUCUGAGAGGACGACCAGCCACACUGGGACUGAGACACGGCCCAGACUCCUACGGGAGGCAGCAGUGGGGAAUUUUGGACAAUGGGCGAAAGCCUGAUCCAGCAAUGCCGCGUGUGUGAAGAAGGCCUUCGGGUUGUAAAGCACUUUUGUCCGGAAAGAAAUCCUUGACUCUAAUACAGUCGGGGGAUGACGGUACCGGAAGAAUAAGCACCGGCUAACUACGUGCCAGCAGCCGCGGUAAUACGUAGGGUGCGAGCGUUAAUCGGAAUUACUGGGCGUAAAGCGUGCGCAGGCGGUUUGCUAAGACCGAUGUGAAAUCCCCGGGCUCAACCUGGGAACUGCAUUGGUGACUGGCAGGCUAGAGUAUGGCAGAGGGGGGGUAGAAUUCCACGUGUAGCAGUGAAAUGCGUAGAGAUGUGGAGGAAUACCGAUGGCGAAGGCAGCCCCCUGGGCCAAUACUGACGCUCAUGCACGAAAGCGUGGGGGAGCAAACAGGAUUAGAUACCCUGGUAGUCCACGCCCUAAACGAUGUCAACUAGUUGUUGGGGAUUCAUUUCCUUAGUAACGUAGCUAACGCGUGAAGUUGACCGCCUGGGGAGUACGGUCGCAAGAUUAAAACUCAAAGGAAUUGACGGGGACCCGCACAAGCGGUGGAUGAUGUGGAUUAAUUCGAUGCAACGCGAAAAACCUUACCUACCCUUGACAUGGUCGGAAUCCCGCUGAGAGGUGGGAGUGCUCGAAAGAGAACCGGCGCACAGGUGCUGCAUGGCUGUCGUCAGCUCGUGUCGUGAGAUGUUGGGUUAAGUCCCGCAACGAGCGCAACCCUUGUCCUUAGUUGCUACGCAAGAGCACUCUAAGGAGACUGCCGGUGACAAACCGGAGGAAGGUGGGGAUGACGUCAAGUCCUCAUGGCCCUUAUGGGUAGGGCUUCACACGUCAUACAAUGGUCGGAACAGAGGGUUGCCAACCCGCGAGGGGGAGCUAAUCCCAGAAAACCGAUCGUAGUCCGGAUUGCACUCUGCAACUCGAGUGCAUGAAGCUGGAAUCGCUAGUAAUCGCGGAUCAGCAUGCCGCGGUGAAUACGUUCCCGGGUCUUGUACACACCGC